UACGUAGGGGGCAAGCGUUGUCCGGAUUUAUUGGGCGUAAAGCGCGUGUAGGCGGCCAUACAGGUCCGUUGUGAAAACUGGAGGCUUAACCUCCAGACGUCGAUGGAAACCGUAUGGCUAGAGUCCGGAAGAGGAGAGUGGAAUUCCUGGUGUAGCGGUGAAAUGCGCAGAUAUCAGGAAGAACACCGGUGGCGAAGGCGGCUCUCUGGGACGGUACUGACGCUGAGACGCGAAAGCGUGGGGAGCGAACAGG
rnacentral:rRNA from 1 species